UUUUUGUAUUUUUAGUAGAGAUGGGGUUUCACCAUGUUAGUCAGGCUGGUCUCAAACUCCUGACCUUGUGAUCCUCCCGCCUCAGCCUCCCAAAGUGCUGGGAUUACAGGUGCCCGCUGCCACGCCUGGCUAAUUUUUGUAUUUUUUGUAGAGACUGGGUUUCACUAUGUUGCCCAGGCUGGUCUCGAACUCCUGACCUCAGGUGAUCCUCCUGCCUCGUCCUCCCAAAGUGCUGAGAUUACAGGUGUGAGCCACAGUGCGUGGCCAGCUCACUCACUCUUGACACUGUUUCCAGUUCUAUUCCCCGACCCCCCAGUUCCUCAGUGUGGUGGAUCCAGAAGUCUGCUUUACACAACUGCUCCCUGUGGCCACCUUCCCAUGGGACAGUUCCAUGCAGCCUGUUCAGCUGGCCCUGCUGACCCUCGCACCCCACACAGACUACGCAGAUAUGCUGCAGUGCAUUCAGUCACUGCAAGACCUCCUGCAACUCGUGACUGCUUGCUUUAUAUUUUGUUUGUUUUUUUGAGACAGGGUCUCACUCUGUUGCCCAGGCUGGGGUGCAGUGGUGCGAUCUCAGCAUACUACAACCUCGAUCUCCCAGGCUCAAGCGAUUCUCCUGCCUCAGCCUCCUAAGUAGCUGGGACUACAGGUGCCCACCACCACGCCCAGCUAAUUUUUGUAUUUUUAGUGGAGACGGGUUUCACCAUGCUGGCCAGGCUGGUUUCAAGCUCCUGACCUCAGGCGAUCCACCCACCUCAGCCUCCCAAAGUGCUGGAAUUUCGGGCAUGAGCCACAACGGGCAUGUGUCACAACAGGCUGGCUAAUUUUUGUAUUUUUAGUAGACACAAGGUUUUGCCAUAUUAUCAAGCUGGUCUCGAACUCCCGACCUCAGUUGAUCCACCCACGUUGGCCUCCUAAAGUGCUGGGAUUUCAGGUGUUAGCCACCUGUAAAAAGUUGAUUUUUUUUUUUUUUUUUUUUUUUUUUUUUGAGAGGGAGUCUCACUCUGUCACCCAGGCUGGAGUGCAGUGCAGUGGCGCAAUCUUGGCUCACUGCAACCUCCACUCCCGGGAUUCAAGCGAUUCUCCUGCCUCAGCCUCCCAAGUAGCUGGGAUUACAGGCACCUGCCACCGCACCCGGCCAGUUUAACUUUUUAAUAAAUAAAACUGAAAAAAUGUUUGAUCUAUUUAGGGGGUACAGGUACAGGAUUUCUAUGUGCACAUGUUGUGGAGUGCUGAGGUCUUGGCUUUGAGUGUAGCCAUGAUUCAAAUAGUGAACAUUGUACUCAAUAGGAAAAUUUUCACCCCUCACCCUCUUCCCAUCCUCCCAUCUUUUGGAGUCUCCAAUAUCUGUUGUUCCCCAUGUCUACCUAUUGUUUAACUCCUAUGCAUGAGAACAUUCAGUAUUUGACUUUGUUUCUGAAUUAUUUCACUGAGGAUAAUGGCCUCCAGUUCUAUCCACAGUGCUGCAAAAGAUAUGAUUUCAUUCUAUUUGUGGCUGAGUCAUGUUCCAUGGUGUACAUGUACCACAUUUUCUUUAUCCAGUCAUCUGCUGAUGGACACUUAGGUUGAUUCCAUAUCUUUGCUACCAUGAAUAGUGCUGUGAUACACAUAUGAGUACAGGUACUUUUUUUUUUUUUUAACUUUUUGAGAUGGAGUUUCGCUCUUGUUGCCCAGGCCAGAGAUCUAUUGUACAACAUAGUGACCAUGUUAAUAACAAUAUUUUAUAUAUUUUUUUUUGAAAAGGAGUCUCGCUCUGUUGCCCAGCUGGAGUGCAAUGGCGCAAUCUCAGCUUACUGCAACCUCCACCUCCCAGGUUCAAGUGGUUCUCCUGUCUCAGCCUCCCAAGUAGCUGGGACUACAGGUGCACGCCUCCACACCCGGCUAAUUUUUGUAAUUUCUGUAGAGAUGGGGUUUCAUCAUAUUGGUCAGGCGAGUUUCAUCAUAUUGGUCAGGCUGGUCUUGAACUCCUGACCUCAGGUGAUCUGCCUGCCUCAGCCCCACAAAGUGCUGGGAUUACAGGAUGCUUGCUCUUUGAACUCAGCCACCAUGCUGUGAGGAAGCCCAGAUCACAAGGAGAGGCCACAUUUUGAUGUUCCAGUCAACAGUCCCAGCACAGGUUUCAGAUGACAGCCAACAUCAGUUGCCGGACAUGAGACUGAAGAAGGCUUUGUGAAGACUCCAGCCCCAGCCACUGCAACAGCAUGAGAGACCCCAAGUGAAAAUCACCUGCCUGAACCCAUCAACUCCCAGAACCAUGAAAAUAAAAAACUUUUUUUUUUCCA